UGGGGAAUUUUGGACAAUGGGCGAAAGCCUGAUCCAGCCAUGCCGCGUGAGUGAAGAAGGCCUUCGGGUUGUAAAGCUCUUUUAGUCGGAAAGAAAGAGUUGCAAUGAAUAAUUGUGAUUUAUGACGGUACCGACAGAAAAAGCACCGGCUAACUACGUGCCAGCAGCCGCGGUAAUACGUAGGGUGCGAGCGUUAAUCGGAAUUACUGGGCGUAAAGGGUGCGCAGGCGGUCUUGCAAGUCAGAUGUGAAAGCCCCGGGCUUAACCUGGGAAUUGCGUUUGAAACUACAAGGCUAGAGUGCAGCAGAGGGGAGUGGAAUUCCUUGUGUAGCAGUGAAAUGCGUAGAGAUGUGGAAGAACACCGAUGGCGAAGGCAGCUCCCUGGGUUGACACUGACGCUCAUGCACGAAAGCGUGGGGAGCAAACA
rnacentral:rRNA from 1 species